rnacentral:rRNA from 1 species
GAUGAACGCUAGCUAUAGGCUUAACACAUGCAAGUCGAGGGGAAACGGCAUUAUGUGCUUGCACAUUUUGGACGUCGACCGGCGCACGGGUGAGUAUCGCGUAUCCAACCUGCCCUUUACUUGGGGAUACCCCGUUGAAAGACGGCCUAAUACCCGAUGUAAUUCAUUGAUGGCAUCAGAUAUGAAUAAAAGAUUUAUCGGUAAAGGAUGGGGAUGCGUCUGAUUAGCUUGUUGGUGAGGUAAAGGCUCACCAAGGCAACGAUCAGUAGGGGUUCUGAGAGGAAGGUCCCCCACAUUGGAACUGAGACACGGUCCAAACUCCUACGGGAGGCAGCAGUGAGGAAUAUUGGUCAAUGGGCGCAAGCCUGAACCAGCCAAGUAGCGUGCAGGAAGACGGCCCUAUGGGUUGUAAACUGCUUUUAUACGAGAAUAAUUUGAUGCACGUGUGCGUUAUUG